rnacentral:tRNA from 1 species
GAGAGAGUAAAACUAGAACUGCUAAUUCCAGUGCCUGAGCCCAGCCAGCUCAGCUCCCUCC